GGUAUGCCACAUAGGAUUCGAUGACAUCAUAAAUCCGACCUUUCUGCAUGACAUCAUAAUUCAGAUUUCAUCUUAAAGCGAUGGAGGUAGAAGACAGCUGUGUCAUUACUCAUGUUCAAGAUAAGCUCUUUCGUGUUCAUGUGAGCAAGAAGAGAGGAAGACACAAAGGAGGUGUGAAACAUAGUUCAGAUGAUACAGGUUCAGGUGUCAAAUCCGUAUCAUGUGAACUGUGUUUGACACAUCCUUUGUGUCUUUCUCUCUUCUUGCUCACAUGAACACGAAAGAGGUUAUCUUGAACAUGAUGUUAUCUAUUAAGGGAGCUUAGAUAAUGACAUAGAAUUGGCUACGUGUCAACUUCUCAUGUAUGCUAUGUAGUCCUCGCUGAUGUCAUAAUUACGAAACGGUAUCCUUUAGUGUUGUUUUCGCUAAAGUUUGAAACGGUAUUGUUUAGUGUUACUCUACCUUCAAGGAAAGUCCAAGGAGCAGCUAUGACAAGGUUUAAAGCUAUUGAAUGGCUUGAAAGUGUAGUUAGGCCAUUGGAGAUACCAAAACAACCAUCAAACUUUUUGAUAGGUCAAAGCUUCAUGUUUCCAACAACUAAUGGUUGUUCUAUCGUAAAGACUUCUGGAGAGCUGGGAACGACUGGAAGUUGUGGUGGCUGUGUGACCGAGGUAUAAUCGAAUUGAAGUUUGUAGAAGUAAUUUUAUACAUCAGCUUGAAAAGGAUCAGAAGACCUGUGAUAUGCUAGCUGAUCUACAAAUUAAAACAAAAAACGAAAUUGCAUGGAAGAAGGCGAGAGAACGAGAUAUUCUAUUAAGUGUUAAUUGUAAUGUUUAAUUUUUAAUUUUUAUUAUUUUUCUAAAUCAUAAUUUUGUAAUACUAUGGUUUAUUAUUGAAUAUUCAAAGUUUCACUGCUUUCAUAAUUUUGCAAUUUUAGUUUUACCAGUUUCUUUUAUCCAAGAUUGCUACUGGUUGGUUAAAAUUUUGGGUUUAUGACGUGUUGUUUCGUUAAAAUUUGGUUAAAAUUUUGGGUUUAUGACGUGUUGUUUCCUGUUGUAGGCUUACCUCAAGUUAUUGUUGAAGGGGAACCGAUGGUCCGAGCAUUAAAUACCAUUGAGUAUCCUCUGUUAUGGUUGCUUCCAUAUCAACUGAGACCUACACAGUAAUUGGAGUACAAGCAUUCUAAGUUUGUUAAUCUGAUUAUUGAAGGGGAACCGAUGGUCCGACCAUUAGAAUGUGCAAGGCGUUACUUCCAGUAAAUGAAGAACAUUUGACUGAUGAAGCCAUAUGGGAGUCACUUCCUGUAAAGCAUGAUCACACAGUCAUCACUGAUGACCUUUCAGCAUCGAAAAACAUCAAAUCCAAAAAUCUAAUGUUUUCUUUGCUUUUUAAGGGGAACA